UAUGUAUAUGUAUAUAUUGAUUUGGAAUAAAGAAAACGUAAUUUUCAAGUUCAUGGAUAUUAGGAUCAUUCUUCAUACCUUAUUGUAGAGAUCGUAGCGUAAUUUGACCCUUGGAGUUUAGAAAACUUAGACCCGAGGUGGUUUUCUCCGCUCUUGUUGUAAGAAUGAUUACAAGAUGACUUUUAGUGUAAAGAGUUGUUCUUAGGGUCUUAAUCACGCAUAUUGAAAUUGGGAACGACUUAGGGACAUAUAAAGAUCCAAUUGCCCUUAAAAUAUACUUAAAAACAAUGUCAUAUCGACAGAAAUAAGGGGGGUUGCGGCGCGACCCCUAGCGCGAAGCGGCCGCUUUGCGGCACAACCCCUGGCGCGGGCUAACCCCCUCGUGGUGCGGGACCAUCGCACGGGUGAGGCAGUAGCCUCCCGCGGUGGCCCACGUGGUGCGGGCUAUCGCGCGCUAUGCCCCCAACCUGUGGAUUCAUAACCAGUAAGUAUAGGGAUAUGAAUUCGAUCCUUCUCACUGCCCAAGAGUGAAUUGACAGUCAAUUCUUGAUCGUAGCUACUGACCAAAGAGAUCCUAUUGCAUACCAGAGAGUUUAGCAUAUAGGAUUUGCAGAUGGCACUUAUUAACAACAAAACCAUGAGGUUAAGGCGCAUAUUUAAAUUUCUUCUUCUGAAAUUUGGUUAUUGAACUCUGUCCAGCUUCAAGUUGGAUCUUAACUGCCUAGGCAAGUAAACAUCUGGAUUGAAGAAUAAAGUGUCCUCUAGUUCCAAGCUCGAGUUGACUAGAUGAUCCGCUACUUGAUUGCCUUCUCUUAAGACAUGAGCAAAAGAUGUGCUGUCAAAAUACAUCAAUGAGGAUGAACGAAGCAGGAGGUUUGAGACACAUCAUUUCAACUGCUCAUUGCUUCAUCUGAAGACCAUCAAGCUCAUUAACUAUUUUGGACCACUAAGGAAAAGUAAGUCAGUACUGUCAUCAGCAAAAUAUCUGCUCAAGCAUGAAACCGUGCUAGAAAAGUUUUUAUUGCUGCCAGAUACAAAGAGACUGUUACAUCUCAGGAUUAUGUUAAAAUGGAACUGGAGUUGCAAGCUUUCUGAGAUCCUCUUCACAUGCUUUAUUUAUCUUUUCAUAUUGAUAAUUUGAGUUAAACUUAACACCGGUUACUUUAUGGUUGUAGCUGGUUUGUAGCUAGUAGACAAAGGUUAGGAUUUUACUUGUUAGGGUAUCUUUACUAGAUUUUUUGUUAGCAUAACAGGACAUCGUGGACUCACAGUUCCCUUUUAAGCUUCCCUCUGUUUUAUCCA